GGCGAUUAUAGCAAAUUAGUCUGGCAAAUGAGCGUUGGCUGGCGUGGUUUACGCUGGCCGUACUCACGUUGCUGAAAUGUGUCAAACACUUCGUCUUGGAAUGGACGAGUGACUGGAUGGUAAAUGGGAGAAAAACAACAUACAUAUUAGGACGCGUUUCCUCGUAUACACAAGUCCGAAUGAUGGGCUUUAUGUUUUGGGGGAUGCACAUGCGAAUAACAAAGAUCACAGAAGAAGACUACAAGCUCGAAGUGGACUAUCGUAGUUAGAGCCAGCCACACCACCAUUUCAGGACUGAGUUUGGGAAAGGCUGCCCUAGAAUCUUCAGACACAGAUUAACACACAUACACAGAUCUGAACAGCUGCAUAAGAGGCUGUAUUGGGCCGGAGGGCACAGAGGAAUGGAGCAUUCUGAUCGGCACUUUCUGUCAGACCCUGUGUAUAUUAAUUUGGGAGUCUGUUCUUCAGGCUGUUUAGAACCUGGAUGGCCUGAUACCACAUGUUAUGGACACAUACUCUGGGUGAUACCGGCAGAGUGAUUGUAUGGACAGUUACAGCCCUAAGCCGACUCCCACUCCAAAUUAACUCUGCAUUUUUGUCUAGCGAGCAAAUGGAUCUGACAAGCAGAAGGGCCAUAUGUUGUCUAGGAGUGACAUGUGUAUGGACACACACUCUGAGAUACGGGGUGAUGUUACGGACACAGAAACCCUCAGUAUGAUACAGACAGUGACAGGGUGUUGAACUGCAGUACAACGUCUGGGCUGUUCCCUGGAUCCAUGGACCAGAACAGGGACUCCAGAAGGCACAGUUGUGAACCUGGACCGAGAAUGAACAGUUGCCAUGACGUUCCACCGCGUCUGCUCCUUUCAAUUUCUAAUUUUGUGAUUGUUGUUUAUUGUGUCUCUAUGAUGCCAGAGGUUCCCCUAGUACUCCUUGUCCUAACCUUAACAAGCUGCAACCACAGCCAGGCUCACUUUAUUGAAUUAAAUGUUAUAAAGGCUUGAUGUUGGCGUCUUCUGUA